rnacentral:lncRNA from 1 species
AUUCGAUUCAUCCUUUUCUUUUUUCUUUUGAGAAAAUGCUCGUUUUUAGUUUGUUUUUUGAAAGCAUAUCUAAAUCCAGGCAGGUUUCCCAUGUACUCCCGAUUGAUCUGAUUUUUUUUUGUUGGCUCGGGCACCACGCACGACGGCGGCCGGAGACGGCAGAGCGGCGGGGCGAGUGACCGGCAGCGGCGCUGGGGAGCGAGAGGAGUCCUCGACAAGGAGCAAAGGAGAGGAGAGAGAGAGAGAGAUUUUCGGGAGUGAUGGGAAGCGGCGGCAGGGAGGGAAAGUGG